rnacentral:lncRNA from 1 species
UAUGAGUUCCAUUUUACUUCACCUACGUUAAAAAAAUGAGACUUUAACUCACUUUAAUGGCUAUGCCCUUGCAUAUUUGUGGUGGCUCUUCAAAAUGUUUCAAAAACACUUUCGCAUGUUGUCUCUUGACUCUGAGAAUAACUGUUUUGAGUAGGUAGGGGAGAAACAUUGCUUUUUGUUUAAAAAGGUGAGAUUCAGAGAGGUUAACUGACUAUUUCUGUUCCACCAAGAGACAGAAAUUAGUUGAAUUUUUCUCUGUUAAAAUUAGUGAUAUUUAAAUGACCAUUCUAAUACAGUAUCACUUAUGUGUCAUUGUUAUUUUUUUUUUUUGAUAAAACAUAUUGUGUCUAGAUGUCAAGGGCAAGAAGAGAAAGGCACAGAUGGAGAAGAUAAGGGCCAUGCUACUGAAAGAAUAUCUAAAAUCAUGCACCAUUUAUGCUCUAGAACAUUCUUCCUUAGCCCAAUACCUCAAUGUCGAGUGGAUUACAAUGCCCAUUUUAAGGGAAGACUAGUGCUGUCCUAUUCAGAUAAAGUAUAUUGGUAUGACACAGAUGUCUGUGCAUAAUUAAUACCAUGUCCUCUUUAUGUUGACAAGGGGAUGCACAUAUUGAACAAUGGAGGCACUGUUCAAAAUUGAUGAUCAGCUUUUAAAAUAGUAAUUAAAAACUCCCCCCCAUUAAAAUCUAAACCAAUUGUAUAUAGUCAAAAAAAUGAAAAAGAAGGAAAAAUCCAUGCAGCAAAACCACAAACUUUUCCUCUGAUUCUCCCAGGAAAAUUGACUUUCCACAUCAUGGCCAUGGCAACUUUGCAACAGCUAUGGUGCAGUCCGAUAGAAUUAAAGUCCUCCCUGAAUUUGAAGUUGUGAUGGAAGACAGGGGCACAGGCAGAGCCCAACAUUGAGAGGUUGCUUUCCUUCCUCUUCUCUUGAUGGACAAAACCUUUUUUCUAAAUCAUUUGUGAAAAAGUCCUAGACCUACAAUGACCUAUUGUGAGCAGAUAACAUGAUCUGACACUUCUUCCCCUUCUGCCAUUAAUUGGGUACAUUUCAGGUGAUAUCUUCCAGAGUCCUUGAAGAAAGGUCUGACAAUUCCUGCUGCCAUUUGAAAAAGGAAAAUCACGAACCUCUUGUUUUGUAAGGACGUGAGACAGGAUGACAACAGGAUUCUGUUACAAGGCUUGUCAUUUCCAACUGAGUACAGUCCACAUAGUCACCAAGUAGAAUAUCAUUCUGAAAGUGGGUUUCAGCUCUUGCUUGAGUUUGAGAUGUAAGCAAACUUAAUAUUGUGCUUGGAGGGAUAGAAAAACCCUUGGAAAAGUUUAGUGUUUAGAAUAUGGAUUUAAUGGACUUUAAAAGGCCAAUGCAUAUUCUGAUUUAUACCACGUAGAAGGUAUCUCUUUAUUCUCAUGGUGUCCUUCUGAGACAUUAACCAUAAGCUUUCAGUAAUGCACGUAGAGAGAAAAGUUGUGAGUUGGGGGGUAAGGAAAUGCUUUUAGUUGAGUUAUACACACAGUUACUGUUAAUCCAGAUAAAAUUUCGCAUGGUUUCUUCCAAACGGCAAAGUAUUUGUCAAACUUAAGUUUGAUAAUUAUGACAAAGGGAAGACAUGAAGAUAUCUCAUCAGCGGAAUGGGUGACAUUCUGUACCGCCUAUUAACUAGGUUGCAACAGAAUAUCUAACAUUCAGCCUUUACUUUUGAUAUUUGUACUUUGUCUUGUAAAUUAUUUGCUAUUAGGCAAAAAAUCAUUGGUUUGAAUUUAACUUGAUUUGGGCAACUAAAUGACAUACCUAAACACAUGCUUUAGCUAUACCAUGACUUUUUAAUGACUUUUCCCUUUAAUUUGGUUUUGGAAAUUGAUUUGCCCUUUAAAAAUAAUAUCAGCAUUUAAAAGUAAUUUUAGCGGCUUUUUGUCUGUGCAGUAACUGAAUUUGGUCCUUAAGAGAAUGACUUCAAAUAAGCAACCUUUGUAAAGAUGUGAAAACUGCUGUGCCGAGCUAGAAAUGGCCACACUUGUAACAAGAAUGUGAGUGUGGACUUAAAGUGAGGCUAAAGUAGAAGAAUCCACUGAAAGUCGACUUUGUGUUCAGAUUGGCAGGCACUGUUGGGGCACAUAAAGAGGGAUCUAUGCCCACGUGUAUCCUCUGGACCAGAAUGGGCUAGAGCAUGGUCUAUUACGUCUGCAGAUUUGCUCCUUUUCUUCUUUUCUGCCUGCUUUCUCUCCUCCCAGGUAGCUGCUAUUAGAUCCAGCUGUGGGGGUGAAGGUAGAUGUGAGGGUAAAGGAUCUAAAGGGAGGAAUCUAGAGUCCACUCAUCCCUUUCAUCUCCUCAUUGGUUCCUGUUCUGUCAGUCAGCUGAUGAGCACAUUCAAACCACUCAGUGUCCCUGGUCCAUGACACAAAUACUCGUAACCCUGAAAUACGCACCCAAAUCAGUGACUUGAAGCAGAUAUAUGAGAUUCCUGAUUUCUUGGGAACUGAAAGUGCUGAACAUUCUCAUAGCUAUAACAUACAUUAUUGGGAAGAUAUUGGCAACUAUCUGCCUCUGACUACAAUUGUUUAUCUGCAAAAUGGGACCAGAAUUCUUCUAAGAUUCUCUGAAAGUAGCAGAAAGUAGUUAUUAGUAGGUAGGGAGGAAUCAUCACAAUGAUCUCAAAAUUUUUCUCACAGCAAUGCUGGAUCCUCAACCCCCUGAGCAAGGCCAGGGAUCGAACCCGCAACCUCAUGGCUCCCAGUCAGAUUUGUCAACCACUGUGCCUCAACGGGAAACUCCGGCAUGUUCACUCUUUAUGUUAAUGCUGAAAUUUAAAUUGCUAGAUGGACUAGAUUUUAGCUGCAUGCCUUGUCUUUUGAGAAAUUGGGAGAUUUGAGGUAAAAUGUCUCAUAGUAGAGAUGGCCUCUUAUUGAUUUUGCUUAUGUCUUCCAGAUUUCAGCAUACAAGUGACUCAUUGGGGUCAAAGAGGGAAAUCCUUUGUGAUGAAUCAGAUGUCACUCUGAGACACAGGGUUUCUUACACUUCAUCUCUAUCUAAAGUCAGUAUUGCCCUGCUAAUCCAUACUAAGCAAACAACACCCCCAAAUCAACACCCAAACAAGUGACAGGCUAUCCUGGAGUUUUAGCUGUUAUUUUCAGGGUUGCCAACACCUUUUUUCCAGGAAAAAAAGACUGGCCAGUGGCCACCAAAGUGUUGCUUUUGAGGGGUGGGAUGGAAUUGAAAUCUCUCCUUUCCUGUCUAUUUGGAGGGGUUAAUGCAUGGGGAAAAUGCCUGUUCUUGGGAAUCCAGUGUUUGAGGUGCCCCCAUACCAAUUCCCCAUCACUCCUCCAACAACAGAAGUUACACAAACAACACUCUUGCCAGAAGGAAUGCUUACAGUUUCUUUGCUAUGACCUGGGCAGAAUUGAGUUCAUCUAUAUUUUCUUCUUGGGAGGAAUACUAUCUCCAGACUGGGGAGACAAUAUAGCCAGGAGGUAGCACUUUUAUUUUAUUUUAUUUUUGCUGUUUUAGGGCCACCCUGAGGCAUAAUGAGGUUCCUUGGCUAUGGGUCGAAUUGGAGCUGCAACUGCCAGUCUACACCACAGCCACAGCAAUUCAGGAUUCAAGCCACAUCUGCAACCUACACCACAGCUCAUGGCAAUGCCGGAUCCUUAACCCACUAAGCAAGGCCAGGGAUUGAACCCACAUCCUCAUGGGUCCUAGUUGGGUUUAUUAACCACUGAGCCACAAAGGGAGCUCUGAGGUAACACUCUUAAGAAAGAAAUAGCAUACUGUCCCUCUAAUAAAGAAGGACCACUUUUAAAAUGAAUUUUUUGAACAAUGAUAAGCAUGUUGAAGGUCCAGAUUGCCAAUUUGUACUUUUGGGCUUAGGAGCUGGGAAAACUCUUCUUGAUUGAUAAUUGGGGCUGGAACAUCACAGAAGACACGUCAGCUUGAUAGUGAAACCAUAAGGCAAGGCAUUAUGGGAAUGUCCUGUUGGCUUCUCUUCCCAUCUAUUUCAUGAUCAGUUGCCAGUGAGCAGGCACUUACAGGAAGAGUUUUAUAAAGGAAGCAGAGGUUCCUUUAUAAAUCCAGGUUGACUUCUGGAUUGUGUUUGCACAGUAGCUUCUGAUUUUUCCUAAGAUGAUUCUUGCUUUGUUUCUGUUAUCCUUUUUUUCUCUAGGUUUUAAUCUGAUGGCACAUAAUAAAUAUCUCUUCUGUGAAAUUCCCUGUAGGAGUUAGAUAUAAGCAUAAGGAUCUCAAUAAAGCUUUUCUAAAAGAAGUCUGAGUUUCAGGAGGAAGCACAUGACUUUUGAGCUUAUUGUUGGAUACCUAAGUUUGUGUCUUGGGUGUCAUUCAUGACAGUAGGGGACACAUUCGGAUCUGGUGGAGGUAGAGAUUGCCUUUCUGAUGGCUCUGUCCUAAACAAAGCCAUACCAAAAACAAACCCUCGGGAAAAUGAAUUGAUCGCAGGAGCACUGAGCAUCUAGAACCAAAACCAAUUAAAAAUUAGUUUAUUCACAUGACCCAUUUUAGAAUUUCUCCAUCUGGACUGACUGUUUUAAGAGUCAGAGUUUGAAAUAAGCCUGGCGUAAGAUCACUUACUAGGUAUUUAAGCUUGUUAAAAUUACUCAGUGUUACUGAGUCUGUUUCCCCAUCUAAAUAUAUGGGGGCAGUGACAGUUAUCUGGUUAUUAUGACCAUUAAAUAAGUUAACCAAUUUCUCUUUGGUCUAGGGAUCUGUUUCCAAAGUUUUCUAUUGAUUGAAGAUAAUCAAAACAUUCUCAUUGAACACUGAUGUAUUUGAGCCUCUUUGAGAAUAUUCAAUAUUUAACCUAUAAGUAAAAAUUUGCCAGUUGAAAGGGGAAAUGCAUAGGUAAAUAGAGGAUUAAUUAAAUGAUGUCCAUACCCUCUUAGUUAUGGACUGGAUAUGUCCUAAGACAGUGGGUCUGAGAAAAUUUAAAAAUUCAAGAGCUAAAAAUUUGUUCCAUUAGAAAUACUGCUUGGUAGGCUGACAGUCACAAAGAGAUGUUUUGCAUCCAGUGUUAUUUACCCCCAUAAUUCACUUCCUUCUGCAUUUUCCCACUAGUUUACAGAAUAGCACUGCAUUGAUGAUGCUGGGUGAUUGUCAUAGAACCAGCUAGAGUUGGAAAAGAAGGUGGUUCUUACCCUUGAUUAAAAUUUUGUCCAGGAAGUUGACAAACCCCACUGCCAUCUCUAAUGCAAGUUACAAGUGUACACACACUUUCUUCAGCACAGGCUGAGAGAUCUUGCUUUGCACUUAUUGUCCACAUAUUGACACUGUUGUAACUUUUGAAUGGUGGGAAGAUGGCAAGAGCAAAGGAAGGAACAGCCAAAUAUGAUUCAAGAGGCUCAUCUAAAUCCCAUAAAGAAAUGAAGCCUUUGGUCUUGCAAUGAUUGUGAAAAGAAUGCCCAAUGUGAGUGUAGCUCUAAAGAAAACAACAUUAUCUUUAAUUACCUGCUUAAAAAGAAGACUAUUUAUUGUGGCCAAAAAGGAUCAGUUAAAAGUUGACGUACUUGUUAUAGAUAAAGGCAAAUUAAAUCCUUUUAGACAGUCAUUUUAGACUCUUGAGAUUCUAGCAAAAGUUGUUAUUGAUUUGUGUUAUAACAAGCAACUUAUUUUUAUGGCAUAUUUAUGGACCGUUAAGGAAUCACAGAUAUCUAUAUCUUAUGAGUGGAAAGGACCUUAAAGUCUAUCUACUUCAGCAGCUUAUGUGAAAUGUGUUUUUAUGUCUUUACAUGUCCAUAAUAAAACAGGACACACUGGACUUUUUCUAGUUCUCUCUUACUCUUUCUUCAUUCCUUUCUUUCCUCCCUCCUUUUCCCUCUCUCUCCAUUUAUUUAUUUAUAUGCACAUGUAUAUAUACACACACAAAUGUGUAUAUGUAUGUAUGCAUAUAAAUGUAUAUAUGUAUAUGUAAUUUUUAUAAAAUUUUUAUUGGACUUAGAAUAUUUUACCACUAUGAAAACAUUCCAGAGUCUUAUAUUUGUAGCUUGUUUUAUGAUAUAUACUUGGUUAUAAAUAUUUUACACAAAAUUUUUGAUUAGGAGCAUACUUAGAGCAGUGGUUCUUCACAGGGACUCCAUCCUAGGAGUUUUGUACCUGUGUCAGGAUUUUGUUCUAGUUUCACAAUAAUUGGCAAAAGGCAAGGUUGCUAGGUGCCCUGUGGUGGACUGGAUGGUCUUGCUCAGCUAAGAAUCAUCUGCAUUUCAUAAGAUAUAUGAAUUACCUACUAGAUUUUCAUGUAAGAAAACACUUUAUUUUUCUCUGAGGCCAGAACUAAUCUCAUUUUCAAGGAACUGUUCCCACAAUUUUAAUAUACUUUUGAAUUUUCCAGAAAGACCAGCUCAGGUCAUUCAACAAUAUUUUAUUUUAUUCAGAACG